ensembl:lncRNA PITPNA-AS1 PITPNA antisense RNA 1
AGCUCCCAGCGUGCCCCGCGCCAGGGGCCGUCUUCCGGCGGAAGUUGUCUCUUCGCCGCCGCCGCAGCCUCUGCCCCACUCGUGAGGGAUCCGAGGGCUCCGUCCUUGUGCUGUCUUCGCCCCGGCUCCCAGGGGUCAAACGAGGGUCGGGGGUGGGGACACGCAGCCUAGCCACUGUCCUGCCUGGGAUCCGGUCUCCCCCGCCCCCCGGCUGCAGGGUGGAUAAAGAGGAAGAUGUGAAGAGGAGGCAGACAAAAGCAAAAGGACAUCCUGUCAGUAGGAAACGGCCGAAUUACAAUUCAGAUGUGCAAUGUUUGCAUAAGUAAACUGACACGGGACUAUUAUAUGCAGAAAUCCACGUGCAAAAAUUUUCAGACACACCUUUGUACCUCUUCCUAAUCCUGCCCUGGUAAAAUGGCGGUUAUCAGUGCAAGUUUGAGGAUACAUACAGCUGGAAAAUGGACAUCACCAAACUGGACUCCAGAAAGUUCUGUCUAGGAUUUUAUUAGACUGCUUUUUUUCUCAAUAUACCUGUAUUGGAAGAUUGAGACAAAAAGGCACAAACUCACAUUAAAUAAACAAGGUAAUCUAAUCAAUUCUA